UUACAGCCAUAUCACAGUUGAAACAUGGAUUCCCAUAUGAUAACCAAAGUUAAGCAACAUUGAGUCUGGUCAGUACUUAUAUGGGUGACCAUUUGGGAUUACUACAUGCUGUAA